AUAGCCCGAGUUGAGAGACUGAUCGGGCCACAUUGGGACUGAGACACGGGCCCAAACUCCUACGGGAGGCAGCAGUAGGGGAAUCUUCCACAAUGGACGAAAGUCUGAUGGAGCAAACGCCGCGUGAGUGAAGAAGGUUUUCGGAUCGUAAAAAGCUCUGUUGUUGGUGAAGAAGGAUAGAGGUAGUAACUGGCCCUUUAUUUGACGGUAAUCAACCCAGAAAGUCACGGGCUAACUACGUGCCAGCAGCCGCGGUAAAU
rnacentral:rRNA from 1 species